AUGUCAUCCCGUGAGGUGACGAAGACGCAGAAAUAUAUGAAAUUCUUUGAGAAUGAGAUCAUCCUCUUUUUAAUGAAGUCAUACUCUGAGGGCCUAUUGCUGUA
rnacentral:sRNA from 24 species